GGUUCUUGUUCACUCUCUCGUUUUGCACUCUCUGAAGGAACCAUCAUCUCCCAAAAUCUCUCCCAAACCUAAUUCACUCAAAAAACCAAAUAUCCACAAAACCCUUCUUGCAAACUUGCAUCGUUCCUUUCGAGGCUUCCAGGUUGCAAUCGUUUGUUUCUAGGGUUUCAACAUUUGGGGUUUCUUAUACAGUGUUGGUGAUUUCUCGUUUAGGGGUUUUGAUUUCGGGGUUUUUCAAUCAAUAUUGGACGUGGUGUUACUAGCUAAGAAUCGUGAGUUUCAGAUUUCUCAAAGGGAAGGCGGCGACGGUGGAGUUCAGGAUCUCUACGAAACGAAGAGGUGAAUUUGAAGGUCUUUUUUCUCGGAUGGAUGCGGAAUACAAUGGCUCGGGUUGAACUGAUACGAUGAAUUGACAUUGGCCUUGAAGUGUUUUGGUUUGGUAUGAAUUUGUAGAACUUGAAUUGUAAUGUACCUUGCUUGACAUAUUUGUUCGGCAGCUUUGUAUUGGGAUGCAGAGUUGAACCUACCUUGCUUGACAUAUUUGUUCGGCAGCUUUGUAUUAGGAUGCAGAAUUGAAUCUGAGAUAGGUUUGAUGUUCAAUUUGGUUUGAGGUGAAAAUUAAUCAAGCUAGUAGAAUGUUAUAGAAUCCGAUUGUUUAUUUAGCUCUGAAUUCCUUUUAUGCAUAGUUUCUGAACGUGUCUAUAAAUGUCAGCUCUU